CUACCAAAGAAUGGUUAAAGAAGAAUAAAGGUAAUGUUUUGGAAUGGCCGAGUCAAAGUCCUGACCUUAAUCCGAUAGAAAUGUUGUGGAAGGACCUGAAGCAAGCAGUUCAUGUGAGGAAACCCACCAACAUCCCAGAUUUGAAGCUGUUCUGUACUGAGGAACGGGCUGAAAUUCCUCCAAGCCGAUGUGCAGGACUGAUCAACAGUUACCGGAAACAUUUAGUUGCAGUUAUUGCUGCAUAAGGGGGUCACACCAGAUACUGAAUGCAAAGGUUCAUAUACUUUUGCCACUCACAGAUCUGUGAGAGUAUUGGAUCAUUUUCCUCAGUAAAUAAAUGACCAAGUGAAAUAUUUUUGUCUCAUUUGUUUAACCGAGUUCUUUUUAUCUACUUUCAUGACGAGUGAAAAUCUGAUGAUGUUUUAGGUCAUAUUUAUGCAGAAAUGUAGUCAUUUCUAAAGGGUUCACAAACUUUGUGGAAUGAACUUACCUAAUAAGACCUCACUGGUUUGUUGUGGGGUUUUUAAAAAAAUCAGUAUUAAGCAAAACUGACACAAAAAAAACAUAGUGUAUUAUAAAAUGAACGCCCCCUCAAAGGUCCCAAAAAGAACUUUUCCAAAACAACUUUUCCUUGUUGCUGGGGUUUUACCAUCACCUGUACAUCUUUUCUACCUUUAGUGUUUAUCUUUCACCUGGAAUUGUAUAGUAUACAUUUAAGAAUAAUUUAAGGUGCAUAACCAGACCUUAAGGACUGAUUUCCCUGCUGGAAAAAACAAACAAACAAACAAACAAUAGAAACCAUGACAGAAAUUCUAAUGGUUUCCACCAAAAAAAAAAAAUACCAUUACAAAUCAUCAACUGUUAACCACUAAAACCAUUACCAAAUGGUUUCCAUUAAGUUGUAGGGUGUAUUAAGGAAGUAGGUCUUUAAUGGUAUCCACUAGACAUAACAUGCCACCGAUAAAAGUCAACAAAUUACACUGGUAUUAAGUUGGCUUGACGUUGGACGGUCAAUAUUCGCAGAUAUUAAGGGACCGUCUCUAAAGUUACAUUGGUAUACACGAUUCUAACUUCAAUAGCAUUUGAAUGGAAUGAAUUACAGUCAUAAAGCCAAAUGUAUAUUAUUCAUGAAGGUGUCAGCUAUGAUGCAUAUCUUUUAGAUUUUAUAUAUGUACUAAAAAAACUAUGAAAUGAUAUGUAAAAAUUUGCCAUGCAUUUCACUACCGAACUGGCUCAUACACAAAAUACACAAUCAUUUAAACAAGUUAGAAACGUGUACAUCAAUGUCGUAUGUACCUUUAGAGAAAUUAAAUUUGCGCAGAUCUGCGAAUAUGGUACGUCCAAUGUCAAGCCAACUUUACACCAGUACAAAUUACCAGUAGAGACUCACAGGGACCAGAGACAGGAACAGGCCAACUCACAGAUGAUGUCUGGUGCCUCCAUGUAAUCAGUGAACUCCUCUUCUGUGCUGUAUUGCUCAAAUUUUGCAAGCGAGCGAUUGUGGCUGGCAUCAAGAAUGGUAGUGAGGAUGUCCAGCUUGCGGAGGUGAGGGCACAGG